CUACCGUUAGCUCAGUUGGUAGAGCUGUAGUUAUUACCAAAUCAGUAUUCCUUAGGUCACCGGUUCGAACCCGGUACGGUAGA